rnacentral:lncRNA from 1 species
CUAAGAUUAAGUCAUAAAAGACUAUUUAUAGCUUCUACCUUACUGCUUCUUGGAUCAUCCACUCUGGGGGAAGCCAGCUGCCAUGUCGUGAGGAUUCCCAAGCAGCCUCAUGGAAGUUCAUGUAAAGCCUCCUGCCAACAGCCAGCAAGGGACUGAAGAGUCCUGCUCACCGCUUUAGGAGAGCUAUCUCGGAAAUGGAUCCUCUGGUUCCAGCCAAAGAGAUCAUUUUUGUAGGCUCCCUGUUGCAAGCUGGUUUUCCAGAAGCAGACACAGAGAAAGAGGUUGGGACGGAGGAUGACUAUUAGAAUAUGUGGAAGAGGAAGGAAGCAGGAUUGGGCACAGCGAGCAGUUGAAGAGCAAUGCAGUCCCAACAAAGUCUCAGCUGACCCCGUGCAGAACUCUGGAGCAUCUAUGGCUCAUUGCCAAGUGGACCAAAAUGGCCAGGCCCCUGUACUACACCAUGCAAAAAGGGGCAUCCAUCCUUCAACAGAGGAUAUCCUAACACAAACCAAAAACCUUGGAGAGACACGCAGCCAUACAAUGGAGGGCAGAGAGGCUGGAGCCCCCCUGGGAGGAGCUGGAAUGGGAACUUACAUUAAACUCAAAGAAGUCUGUAUACCACCUACCUAUGCUAACCAAUCUAAUCACAAUUCAGAAACGUGAACAAACAACUAAGUAUCACUAGAGAGGACUUCGGGACCUCCUCAAGCUGAAAAAGAAAUUCCAGCAUGAGCAAACAUGAUAACACAUUCUAAAUCAAAAGAUAUCAUUUGGAGGAUAAAACAAUAAAAUUUCAAAGAAAUUC